ACAUUCUUUCCCUCGCUUCAAAACUGAGAGAACAACGAAUCCUAAAGCUGGAAGGAAGGAAAAACAAGAUUUGCCUUAGGAGGUGAAACAGAGAUCAAGUGGGAAGAACUUUUUUGACAAGUACUCAUAAGAAAGAUGAGAACUUCCACUUUCAGGAAGUUGAAGAUACCCCUCUCCCUUCCGGCUGCUGAGCAUCACUAAGAAGUGUGCAUAUUAUUACAUAGGGAAAAUACAAAAGGCGCUGCUGGAAGGAGCUGAGAAGAUAGGCUGACUAGCAACCUGGGAACCAGAGGAACAGCACGGCCUAUGGUUGUCUCACAUAUCACAGGUGUGGAACUGAAGAAAAAGACUGACAGUCUAAACCUACUCUCUCUAAGAACCUAGAAAGGGGCGUGGCCUAGAAAACAGUCUUAGGCAGUAGUGGUCUACUCCAGGAUCCACUACAGAAAAUGGGACUUCUCUGCUCACCCACCCCUCACCAGACUGGUGUUCAAGAAGACUGACCAGAGAGCUGAGACUUUUCAUCUAUGUCCAAAGGGAAAGGGUUUCCCUGAUGUCUGGUAAACGACGCCAGGGAGCCUGGGCUUCUACCCCCACCAGCAAGAAGGAGCCUUUCUCUUCAGAUGUCAAUAGAAGCUGGUGGAGAACUUGGCCUUCUACUUCUACCUGGCAAAAGUGAGCUGUUCCUCUCUAUCCAACCUCCCCUGUGUGAGCUCUGUAAGAAACCCAGUUAAAAUAGAAGACAAUAAAUAAAUAAAUUCCUCCAAAUAGCAAGACUUCAAUGGAAAAUACUCUUGCUAAAAUUCAGGAAUCUUUUAAACCAAAUGAAAAAAGAUCAAUAAAUUCCAAU